rnacentral:rRNA from 1 species
UGCAAGUCGAACGGCAGCACGGACUUGCGGUCUGGUGGCGAGUGGCGAACGGGUGAGUAAUGUAUCGGAACGUGCCCAGUAGCGGGGGAUAACUACGCGAAAGCGUAGCUAAUACCGCAUACGCCCUACGGGGGAAAGCAGGGGAUCGCAAGACCUUGCACUAUUGGAGCGGCCGAUAUCGGAUUAGCUAGUUGGUGGGGUAACGGCUCACCAAGGCGACGAUCCGUAGCUGGUUUGAGAGGACGACCAGCCACACUGGGACUGAGACACGGCCCAAACUCCUACGGGAGGCAGCAGUGGGGAAUUUUGGACAAUGGGGGAAACCCUGAUCCAGCCAUCCCGCGUGUGCGAUGAAGGCCUUCGGGUUGUAAAGCACUUUUGGCAGGAAAGAAACGUCGUGGGUUAAUACCCCGCGAAACUGACGGUACCUGCAGAAUAAGCACCGGCUAACUACGUGCCAGCAGCCGCGGUAAUACGUAGGGUGCAAGCGUUAAUCGGAAUUACUGGGCGUAAAGCGUGCGCAGGCGGUUCGGAAAGAAAGAUGUGAAAUCCCAGAGCUUAACUUUGGAACUGCAUUUUUAACUACCGGGCUAGAGUGUGUCAGAGGGAGGUGGAAUUCCGCGUGUAGCAGUGAAAUGCGUAGAUAUGCGGAGGAACACCGAUGGCGAAGGCAGCCUCCUGGGAUAACACUGACGCUCAUGCACGAAGGCGUGGGGAGCAAACAGGAUUAGAUACCCUGGUAGUCCACGCCCUAAACGAUGUCAACUAUCUG